rnacentral:lncRNA from 1 species
ACGAAUAUUCCCGCGCGCUUCUGUCGGCCUAAACAGGGACAGAACGCUGACUCACUGUCCGUCAGUCUGAAGACAACCUGCCUCAGCACAACCUUAUUCCAUGUAGACUGCAUUAUCGUGAGUAUACAAUCAUCUCAGCGUCCUCUCUUUUAGAGGGUAAGAAAUGCAGUUUUGUGUUUACAGUAGGCUACACAGCUCCAAGUCCGAACAUGGGGAAGAAACGAAGGAAUUUGAACUACAAGGAGGACAUCAGAUCGUUUUUCAGUCCACCAAAACGCGCAGAAGUGGAUCCUGAAAAGGGAAGUGGAGACGCCCAGGGAGAAGAGUUGAACAACCAGGACAGAAACAUGACGCCAAGACGCUCUAUACUUAAGGAUUUGAAUCACAAACCAAAGAUAAAGUCUGAGG